rnacentral:rRNA from 1 species
AUGGUCGCUGCCGUGUCGCCUCCGGGCGCGGCGGGGGCGGCGACGAUCAUCGCCUCGUUCCACGGCACCCACUGCGCGUCCCCGUCCCGCGCCGCCGCGCCCAGGCCGCGGUACCACGGCAGCGCGUGCUGCUUCGCGGCCAAGCCCACGCCGGCGGCCGCGGUGGCGUCCGAGCCGGGCCAGGACCAGGACGUGGACGACGAGGGGGGCGUCCUCGGCGCCGCCAACGGCGCGGACGCGACGCUGUCGACGCGGAAGAAGCGCCGGGCCCGGAAGGGCAAGAGGUCGGCCGCCGCGCAGCAGCAGGAGGCGGAGGAGGAGGAGGCCAGGAGGAAGGCCGAGGAGGAGGCGGCGGCCGCCAAGAAGAAGAAGGCGGAGGAGGAGAGCCGGGCGGCCUCGCUGGACCUGGACGAGGUCAUGGCCGUGAGCCCCGUGGGGCUGGGCCGGCGCUCGCGGCAGCUGUUCGACGAGGUGUGGCGCAAGUUCUCGCGCCUGGGCCAGAUGUCCAGCGCCUCCGCCACCGAGGCGCUCGCCGAGGCGGAGCAGGCCGUGCUCAGCCGCGGCGGGCCCAUGUGCGAGUUCACCGUCCCCGGCGCCCAGGACACCACCGUCCUCGUCGUCGGCGCCACCAGCCGCAUCGGCCGCAUCGUCGUCCGCAAGCUCAUGCUCCGAGGCUACAAUGUCAAGGCUCUAGUUAGAAGGGACGACCCCGAGGUGAUCGACAUGCUUCCCAGGUCGGUGGACAUCGCUGUUGGCGAUGUUGGUGAUCCUUUGGCUGUGCAAUCGGCCGUGUCAGGUUGCAGCAAGAUUAUCUAUUGCGCAACCGCGCGCUCAACCAUUACCGGGGACCUCAACAGAGUUGAUAACCAAGGGGUCAGGAAUGUCAGCAAGGCUUUCCAGGAUUACUACAAUGAGAUGGCUCAGCUCAGGGCUGGUAAAAGCAGCAAGAGCAAACUUUUGAUAGCAAAAUUUAAAUCUGCUAAGUCUCUGAAGGGUUGGGAGGUGAACCAGGGAUCUUACUUCCCGAAUGCCUAUGCUUCUGGUUCUAGUUUUGAUGAAGGUAUCGAUGCGUCCUUUGAAUUCUCAGAAGGUGGCCAGGCCGUUUUUGCAGGAUUUGUUUUUACAAGAGGUGGAUAUGUCGAGAUAUCAAAGAGGCUAUCUCUCCCUUUAGGUUCCACCCUAGACAGGUAUGAUGGCUUGCUUCUUUCAGUGGGUGGAAAUGGAAGAUCAUAUGUUGUUAUUCUUGAGACUGGUCCACUGGCUGACACCUCACAGAGUAAGAAGUAUUUUGCUCGGAUGACUACAAAAGUAGGCUUUUGUAGGGUAAGAGUACCUUUCUCGGCUUUCCGUCCAGUAAAACCAGAAGAUCCUCCCCUAGACCCUUUUCUUGUGCAUACCUUCACCAUUAGGUUUGAACCAAAAAGGCAGAGACCUGGUGAUGGAACCCAAGGUGCCACUGACCCCAGAAAUUUUGAGCUGAUACUGGAGUACAUCAAAGCUUUACCUACCGGUCAAGAAACAGACUUCAUACUGGUCUCAUGCACAGGUUCCGGAAUUGAACCUAACAGAAGAGAACAAGUUCUCAAAGCAAAGAAGGCUGGAGAGGAUGCGCUGAGAAGGUCAGGCCUUGGAUACACAAUUGUACGGCCUGGUCCACUGCAGGAAGAACCUGGCGGUCAGCGUGCACUGAUCUUUGAUCAAGGAAACAGAAUCUCUCAGGCUAUCAGCUGUGCGGAUGUAGCAGAUAUCUGUGUCAAAGCAUUGCAUGAUUCCACGGCGAGAAACAAAAGUUUUGAUGUAUGCUACGAGUAUGUUUCUGAGCAAGGGAAUGAACUGUAUGAACUUGUGGCUCAUUUGCCAGAUAAGGCUAACAACUAUCUUACACCGGCACUAUCAGUUCUAGAGAAAAACACCUAA